rnacentral:rRNA from 1 species
CUUCCUACGGGAGGCAGCAGCCGCGGUAAUACGUAGGGGGCAAGCGUUAUCCGGAUUUACUGGGUGUAAAGGGAGCGUAGACGGCACUGCAAGUCCGGAGUGAAAGCCCAAGGCUUAACCAUGGGACUGCUCUGGAAACUGUGGAGCUUGAGUGCGGGAGGGGCAGGCGGAAUUCCUAGUGUAGCGGUGAAAUGCGUAGAUAUUAGGAGGAACACCGGCGGCGAAGGCGGCCUGCUGGACCGUAACUGACGUUGAGGCUCGAAAGCGUGGGGAGCAAACAGGAUUAGAAACCCUUGUAGUCCAAA